rnacentral:rRNA from 1 species
UGGGGAAUCUUCCGCAAUGGACGAAAGUCUGACGGAGCAACGCCGCGUGUAUGAUGAAGGUCUUCGGAUUGUAAAGUACUGUCAUUGGGGAAGAACGGUUUUCUUGAAAAGAUUGAGAAGACAUGACGGUACCCAAGGAGGAAGCCCCGGCUAACUACGUGCCAGCAGCCGCGGUAAUACGUAGGGGGCAAGCGUUGUCCGGAAUUAUUGGGCGUAAAGGGCGCGUAGGCGGGCCUUUAAGUCCGGUGUGAAAGAUCAGGGCUCAACCCUGAGAGUGCAUCGGAAACUGGAGGCCUUGAGGACAGGAGAGGAAAGUGGAAUUCCACGUGUAGCGGUGAAAUGCGUAGAUAUGUGGAGGAACACCAGUGGCGAAGGCGACUUUCUGGACUGUAACUGACGCUGAGGCGCGAAAGCGUGGGGAGCAAACAGGAUUAGAUACCCUGGUAGUCCACGCCGUAAACGAUGAGUGCUAGGUGUAGAGGGUAUCGACCCCUUCUGUGCCGCAGUUAACACAAUAA